UACGGGGGAGCAAGCGUUGUUCGGAUUUACUGGGCGUAAAGGGCGCGUAGGCGGUCACUACGAGUCAGCUGUGAAAUCUCCGGGCUUAACUUGGAACGGUCAGCUGAUACUGUCGGACUAGAGUGCAGAAGGGGCAACUGGAAUUCUCGGUGUAGCGGUGAAAUGCGUAGAUAUCGAGGGGAACACCUGCGGCGAAGGCGGUUGCUGGGCUGACACUGACGCUGAGGCGCGAAAGCUA
rnacentral:rRNA from 1 species